GGAGAGUUAGCUCAGUCGGGAGAGCACAUGCGUCACAUGCAUGGGGUCAUGGGUUCGAGCCCCAUACUUUCCACCA
rnacentral:tRNA from 1 species